rnacentral:rRNA from 1 species
AACAAACGCUGGCGGCGUGCCUAAUACAUGCAAGUCGAACGAGGUAGCAAUACCUAGUGGCGCACGGGAGAGUAAUACAUGGAUAAUCUGCCCUCGAGUGGGGGAUAACUUGCCGAAAGGCGAGCUAAUACCGCAUAAGACCACAAGAUCUGCGGAUCUAGGGGUUAAAGGUUUUUCGCUCGAGGAUGAGUCCAUGCUCGAUUAGCUAGUUGGUAGGGUAAUGGCCUACCAAGGCUACGAUCGAUAGCUGAUCUGAGAGGAUGAUCAGCCUCACUGGAACUGAGACACGGUCCAGACUCCUACGGGAGGCAGCAGUAGGGAAUAUUGCACAAUGGGGGAAACCCUGAUGCAGCGACGCCGCGUGAGCGAUGAAGGCCUUCNGGUUGUAAAGCUCUGUUGUACGGGAAGAACACAAUGACGGUACCGUAUAAGAAAGGACCGGCUAACUUCGUG